UCCAUCUAAACCAGGUGCUGGUCGCGGCCCUCGGGGGUUCUCUCCUGGGUGGUAGGGGCUAACACCCUUCACGCGUUGCCGCAUUCUGUAAUCCUUUUUUUACGAGCACCUUUCGUUCUCCUUCGGUGGGGCAACCUGCCGCUGGAACUUAACAAAACCUUUUUUGCAUCUAGCAUUACCUGUUCUGAUACAAACAAUCGUUA
rnacentral:misc_RNA from 2 species